rnacentral:lncRNA from 1 species
UACGCUCCCCUCGCUAUCCCACGUGUGUCGCUUCCUCUGUCUCUUCCCAAUCCUCGUUGUUUCCUCUUUGCCAUUUCACACACGCAUCCCCCGGAACAGAGGUUGGGAGAGAUAGCCAUGGCGAUUUGGAUCUCCCUCUCGGCGAUCGACGCAGUUGGUUGUUGGUGACUCGUCUGUGCUCUGUCCCGCUCCCCUGCUGCCUCCGCGCCCCGCUCGACCUCCCGUCGAUUGUCUGCCCCCCCACCAACCCCGGCCACAAUUUUCCCCCUCCCGUCGUUUUUGUUCGUCUGAUUCGGCAUUUUCUCUCGAUUUUCUCUUGUUCCGUAGAUCUGAAUGGUAGUUUUAGGGGUUUCUUAGUCAGAUCUUGUUGUUGUGUGUAUUUCCCCCGCAUUCAUUCGUGUAGAUGUGUGAGGUUCCGCCGGGUUUGAUUUUCGUUUGCCAUGGCGGAUUUAGGAGGCGGAGUGCCCUGUGGUAGGUGGAGGUAGUUCCAGUUUCUAAGGCCGCUCGUCCCAGUCCAUGGCGGGGCGAGGUGACUGGGGGGGUGGGGUGCUCCUUGAGGGGGUUUCACUGUUAGUUUGAUUUGAUCUGUAACUGCGGUGUGUUAACUUGUUUAGUUGUACUAUUAUGCGAUAGUGAUCUAUUCCUAGGUUGUGCAUGUAGGUUUCCCCUAGGAUGACAUCCACUUGGUUGCGUAGUUGUAGUUUUGGCAAUAUAGUUGACACACAUCCACCUUCAUGUGGAUACAGGACUAUAUGAAUGAGUGAGUUGAAGUUGUUGUCAGUGGUUGUUUUGCACUGUAAUUCUGAAUUGAUUCAUAGUGUAUUCCCCAUUUGUUAUUACAGUGUAAUUUUUAGUGGAUUUACAGUGUAUUUUCGCUAUAGAUUUACAAUGUAGUUCUCACUGGAUUUACACUGUAAUUCCUAGUAGAUUUGCAGUGUAUUUUCUUAGGGGUUUUACACUGUAAUUUCUAGUGGAUUGUACAGUGUAAUCCCCAAUGGAUUUACAGUGUAUUUCCUAGGGGUUUUACAGUGUAAUUCUUAGGCGUUUUACACUGUAAUUCUUAGUGGAUUGGGUGAUGAUUGCCUUUAGUCUAUCACCUACGUUCUGCUCCACUCAUUCUGUAUUGUUUCUAGCACUACCAUAACCCACUGCCAUGCUACUACUAGUAAUCCCAACCACUACACUGAACAAAUAAAGUGUAUAUUUGCACUGUAAUUUCAUUUAUUUUCAUUGUAAUUUCAGUAGUGUGCAACUUGCAGUGUUUUUCUCUGAAAUUUUCCAGUUUCUCGGUGUUCCUUUUAGUGAUUUUUGCAGUGUAACUUGCAAUGAUUUGUAUUGCUAUUUUCCAGUAUUUUUUAGUGUUAUUACUUAAAGCGGAGUAGUUUUGUAAAUGUGUAUGCUCAUCCGUGCAAUUUCAUUCAGUUAAUCUCACACCGAGUCAUUUUGGUAUAUAUUUUCAGGAAAAUCCCUUCAAUCUGUGCAUGUACAUUCAUGGACUCUAAUUCAGAAUUUUCAGGAAAUAGUGAUUUUACACUGUAAUUUUAAUUGGAUUUACAGUGUAAUUCUUUAGUGUAUUUUAGUGGUUGAUUACAGUGUAAUCCUUAGUGUAGCUAAACUGUAAUUUUUGUACUUACAGUCUAUGUACUGGAAUUUUCCGGUCUAACUUUGCAGUGUAAUUACACUGUACUUUCAGUGUAAUUAAUCUGUUUAUUAUGUGUAAUUAAGCUGAAUUUUUGUACUUACAGUCUAUGCACUGAUACUUUCCAGUCUAAUUUACAAUGUAAAUACACUGUAAUUUUCAGUGUAAUUAACCUAUUUUUUGUAGUUACAGUCUAUGUACUAACAUUUUGCAGUCUAAAUUGCAGUGUAAUUACACUAUAAAUUCAGUGCAAUUUGCAAUGUAAUUACACUCAGCGUUUAACCUGUGUUUUAACCUGAACUUUUGUUCUUGUAGUCUAUGUACAAUGUUUUUCCAAGCUAAAUUGCAGUGUAACUCUACUGUAAUUUUUUAAUCACAUUUAUGUCCUAUAAGGCUUGUGGGCAGGUACCCCUUGUUAUUUCUCCUGAUGGCAGUGUAAAUUGUUCAAAGAAGCCAAAUAGACGAGUUUCCUUUGCAGCACAUUGUACGUCAGUGUUGAGUUUUCAUCAAAAAUGGGAGGAGGCUUGGUUGAGUGUAUCAUGUGAUCAUUUUUCCUCCAGCUGUCUAUGAUAUACUUGUCAG